AACCUCACAUCUGGGGGUUUUACAUUCAUGGUGGCAAUUAAAGUACGGUGCUAAUCUGCUAUAUUGCCCCUUAAUAUCGUGCGUCAAAAUGCUUCGCUCGAUUGCUGGUUUUCAUUCUACCAUCGGAUGAACGUCCCUUGUCGUCCUCCAUUUCUGGACUGCUCUGUUCUGCGACUAGCGCCCACUUACUUGAGUAGCGCCAUCGGAAACUCUGGGGUUGUGGGCUUCGUAAUCCUGUCGUUUGCCAACAAUGCUGCAGCAUGACGUGAAUUCAUAGCAUAAAUUGAAUUUUCCACCCUCCUUGUUGGAAACAAACACUUCAUGUUCACCCU
rnacentral:sRNA from 1 species